rnacentral:rRNA from 1 species
UACGUAGGGUGCAAGCGUUGUCCGGAAUUAUUGGGCGUAAAGAGCUCGUAGGCGGUUUGUCACGUCUGCUGUGAAAACUCGGGGCUUAACUCCGGGCCUGCAGUGGGUACGGGCAGACUAGAGUGCGGUAGGGGAGACUGGAAUUCCUGGUGUAGCGGUGAAAUGCGCAGAUAUCAGGAGGAACACCGGUGGCGAAGGCGGAUCUCUGGGCCGUAACUGACGCUGAGGAGCGAAAGCGUGGGGAGCAAACAGG